GUGGCGCAGGGUGCGUCGAUGGCGAGCAAAUCGAUCUGCGAGGAUUGUCUGCAGGUGGCUUACAAGAGUGCUUGCCGUCGAGCGAAGGUCGGGCCGUAGAUGUUGGUUGCUUAAUUAGGUAUUCGGGGAAGGCUUUUGUCUCCACAAACAAUACAGUGGAUCUUGCAGUGUACCUGGGCUCGAGGCAUAAGAGGGAGAAGAAGACUGCUAUUAUCGUCGGCCAAGUAUGCACUUCUCAACUGUUUCACUGAUCUCCUUUGCUGGUGCAAAUGAGAAGGAGCUCUUAAAGAAGAAGCAAUGUGAUCGUGACAUUUGAUUUGGUUGGUCGUAAGGUUCUGCUGCUCAUCAAUACUUGGUUAUUCGAAUAAAACAGCAUUCUCUUGCGAAGCACACGACACAUAAGAAUUGAGUGUUGGUAUGUAAGAAACCCUUGCUUUUAUUAAUUGUUAGUAUUGUCUAUUUCAACAAGGAUAUUAAGUGCAUUUCGUAUAUCUCUUGUACAAAAUUGUAAUAUUCACAGCCUAAAUCAUAUGCUUGUCCACAAAAAAAUAAUGUUCUUCCAUGCAUAAACAUUACAGUUUAUUCAUUUAUAUAUAA